UACGUAGGGUGCGAGCGUUGUCCGGAAUUAUUGGGCGUAAAGAGCUCGUAGGCGGUUUGUCACGUCGGGAGUGAAAACACCGGGCUUAACUCGGUGCUUGCUUUCGAUACGGGCAGACUAGAGGCAUGCAGGGGAGAACGGAAUUCCUGGUGUAGCGGUGAAAUGCGCAGAUAUCAGGAGGAACACCGGUGGCGAAGGCGGUUCUCUGGGCAUGUCCUGACGCUGAGGAGCGAAAGUGUGGGGAGCGAACAGG
rnacentral:rRNA from 1 species